AUAGUCUACCAUACCACUUGAAUGUGCUAGAUCUUGUCUGCUCUUAGAAGCUAAGCAGGGCUGGGUCUGGUUAAUACUUGGAUGGGAAAAAUUAUUAGUACAGCAUAAGUGGCAUAAA
rnacentral:rRNA from 1 species